rnacentral:misc_RNA from 1 species
GGAAGACAGUGUUGGAUCAGUGGCAGCAUACGAGAUAAGAGGAACAUGAAGACCAUUUGAAAUGAAAGAAAUCAUAUGAGCUAUUGCAGAAGACUGUGGACCAAUUAUUGCUACCACUUGCUUCUCAGUUACCUGUAAAGCUCCAAUAGACCCCUUAAACACACUGCAUUCAGAAUCCUCCAUAAUCAAAUUAAGACUAGUCCCAUUCAGUAUGCUAGGAUCCCCAUUGAUAUCAGAAACUGCUAACUCCAUAGCUUUCUUAACUGCCCUACCCAUGACUGAAUCAAAAGCAAAAACUGCACCAACAUUCACAACAUCAGGUUUUUCACAGUUCCCAUGUUUAUUCUGCAACAGCCAAAUGAAAACAAACAGUGGCAACACUCCCCAAAGAAUCCUCAUCCUCAUCCCACCACUUCAAAAAAAAAC